UUUUCCUUCUCUUUUUUGCCUCUCUUUUUUCGCAAACCCUAUUCCCCUUUUCACUCAAUGAUAAUUUCUCCCAAUCAAAGCUGCAGACUCAACUUUUCUGAUUACUUGCAACUAUGGUUUUGCAAAUUUCAAUACAAACCCUAUCUCUCUUUAGUUUCCUUCAUAAAGUUAAACCAACUUCUCCUUCAUUUCUGUCAACUCUUUCUGUCUCUCUCUUAUCUUCUCUCUCUCGAAAGUCUUUUUUUCUUUUCAUAGCAAAACUUUCAUUUCUUCCUUUCUCCUCCUCCCUCAUGGCAAGACCGUUCGAGCACGUUGCCGACAUCAACGACGAAAGUAUGGAAUCCAAAUUCGAGCGGGUCAACAAUUUAGUUACUUCAAAUAAUUGGACUGAGAAGGUGAUGAGGGAGUAGAUGCUGCCGAUGAAAAAGUAGAAGCGGGAAGUUUGAAACUUUCCAUAUCUGUGGAACUGCAAGCAAAACCUUUAUCUUGAGAAUCUAUUACAGCUAAGUAUGUUACUGUUAUGAGAGGUGGUUCAUUUUCACUUUGUGAGGAUCAAGAGUCUUCUGGGAGUAAUAGCUUCAGUUUGAAUAGUGGCCAACAACAACAACAACACUGGAACAAUUGUUCUUAUGGUGAUUCGCCCGAUUGUUGGAGUCCGAGAUUGAGUUCUAAAGAGGAGAGUUUGAUGAAAAGAAGAGAGUGUGAUCAUCAGCAUAGCGGUGGUAUUGGACAUGGAAGACUUGCUACUACAUCUUCUGGCAUUAAAGUAUCAAUCGGCAGCAAUGAAUAUUUACUAAAACCUGCACUAACAGAAGCAACUUUGCUGUUAAUACUAAAGAAUUUUUUUGAGGUCAUUCUGCAUCUCCCUGUAGUGAAUAGGUGGUUCUUGGAGGUGGUGAGGAUGUAUCAGUUGUUACAACUACUAAUCAAAGUGCUGGCAGCUACCUUAUAGGCUGUGACAACGAACUUGCGAAAUUACAUACUAGCCAUCCCGAGGCUUGCGACAAAGAUGGUGGCGUGAUCAAUAUGCAUAUAGACGAUCUCUGAAAAUUUGCGAUGCUAUGGCUGCAUAAAACUGAGGAGGUUUGAGCUGAUAGAGCUCAUUAUGCAAGAAAUAUAACACGAGACAUAUAUGAGACCGGGUGGAUCAGUGAGAUGUAUGGUUACUCAUUUGGUGCGGCAGAGUUGAAACUAAAGCACACUAUAAGCAAUGAGAUAUUGAUAUACCCGGGAUAUGUUCCUGCGCUGAACGUCAAAUAUCGAGUUUGUCAUUAUGGAUUGUAAUUCAGUUAGUUGUCCACAUGGUCUAUUGAUGCCUGAGCAAGCUCCUGGUGCUAAACGGGUCCUUGUUCCUGAGACUUUUUGGCUCUUCUUAUGUGAAGAUUCUAUUUCUGUAAAACAUGAUGAUGCUUUAGGUGGCCUGAUUCUUCCUUCAGGUUCUACAGAGUGUUCCCAAUGCAUUAAUGAAUUAUCUGAAGCACCAUGCUUGGAGGAUUCUUUGAGGUUAUUUCAUUUGUAAUUGCCAUUACAAAUAGUGACAAAUAAUUACCUGAAAUGAUGUUGUGUGCUGAAAGAAUGCUCAUGUUACGAAACUCUUAACUCGGCCUAACCAUAGUCAGUUUUAUAUUUUUGAGAAAUAAUAGUAGUUAUAGUUAUAAUGCAUAUAUAAUACUCUUG